CCGUUGUGGUGCUGGGGGUUAAGGUGCAACGUCAGAGCACAUGCUCCAAAAUAACUGGAGCCACCAAUCCCCUGAGGUUGGCCCUUUUAACUGUGAGCAGCACAA